rnacentral:rRNA from 1 species
AGCCAAUUAUCUCCCAUGACUCCUCACGAGGAACAAACUAACUAUGAUUGAGCUAGCAAUUUAGGUUGGGGUGACCUCGGAAUAAAAUCUAACCCCCGAGAAAAAUUUCGCCAGACUUACAAGUCAAAGCCAUACUGAUAUAAAAUGACCCGCCAAUGGCGACCAACGAAACAAGUUACCCUAGGGAUAACAACGCAAUCCUAUUCAAGAGUCCAUAUCGACAAUUAGGGUUUACGACCUCGAUGUUGGAUCAGGACAUCCCAAUGGUGUAGCAGCUAUUAAUGUGUUCGUUUGUUCAACGAUUAAAGUCCUACGUGAUCUGAGUUCAGACCGAAA